GAUGAACGCUGGCGGCGUGCCUAAUACAUGCAAGUCGAGCGAAAAGACGAGGAGCUUGCUCCCCUGACGUUAGCGGCGGACGGGUGAGUAACACGUGGAUAACCUACCUAUAAGACUGGGAUAACUUCGGGAAACCGGAGCUAAUACCGGAUAAUAUAUUGAACCGCAUGGUUCAAUAGUGAAAUACGGUUUUGCUGUCACUUAUAGAUGGAUCCGCGCCGCAUUAGUUAGUUGGCAAGGUAACGGAUUACCAAGGCGACGAUGGGUAGCCGACCUGAGAGGGUGAUCGGACACACUGGAAGUGAGACACGGUCCAGACUCCGGCGGGAGGCAGCAGUAGGGAAUCUUCCGCAAUGGGCGAGAGCUUGACAGAGCAACGCCGCGUGAGUGAUGAAGGUCUUCGGAUCGUAAAACUCUGUUAUUAGGGAAGAACAAAUGUGUAUGUAACUGUGCACGUCUUGACGGUACCUAGUCAAAAAGCCACGGCUAACUACGUG
rnacentral:rRNA from 1 species